rnacentral:rRNA from 1 species
AUUGAACGCUGGCGGCAUGCUUUACACAUGCAAGUCGAACGGCAGCACGGGUGCUUGCACCUGGUGGCGAGUGGCGGACGGGUGAGUAAUGCAUCGGAACGUGUCCUUAAGCGGGGGAUAACGCAUCGAAAGAUGUGCUAAUACCGCAUAAUCUCUGAGGAGGAAAGCAGGGGAUCGCAAGACCUUGCGCUUUUGGAGCGGCCGAUGUCUGAUUAGCUAGUUGGUGGGGUAAUGGCCUACCAAAGCUUCGAUCAGUAGCUGGUCUGAGAGGACGGCCAGCCACACUGGGACUGAGACACGGCCCAGACUCCUACGGGAGGCAGCAGUGGGGAAUUUUGGACAAUGGGCGCAAGCCUGAUCCAGCCAUGCCGCGUGAGUGAAGAAGGCCUUUCGGGUUUGUAAAAGCUCUUUCAGCCGGGAAGAAAAGGCUGCGACUAAUAAUCGCAGUUCAUGACGGUACCGGAAGAAGAAGCACCGGC